rnacentral:rRNA from 1 species
CCUACUGGUGACUUCAUUGAGGAGUUUGGGUCAAUGGGCGGAAGCCUGAACCAUCAAAUGAGCUCUCCGUCUUCCUUCCCUCCUUUUUUUCCCCUUCUUUUCUCCUUUAAUAACGCGCCUUACGUGUAGGGCUUUGCAUGUACCGUAUGAAUAAGGACCGGCUAAUUCCGUGCCAGCAGCCGCGGUAAUACGGAAGGUCCGGGCGUUAUCCGGAUUUAUUGGGUUUAAAGGGAGCGUAGGCCGCAUGUCAAGCGUGCUGUGAAAUGUCCGGGCUCAACCCGGGCCUUGCAGCGCGAACUGGCGUGCUUGAGUCCGCGGAAAGCAGGCGGAAUUCGUCGUGUAGCGGUGAAAUGCUUAGAUAUGACGAAGAACCCCGAUUGCGAAGGCAGCUUGCUGCAGCGGAACUGACGCUGAUGCUCGAAAGCGCGGGUAUCGAACAGGAUUAGAUACCCGUGUAGUC